CGAGCACGCGCGUGUGGCAUAUCAAUAAGCGGAGGAAAAGAAACUAACAAGGAUUCCCUUAGUAACGGCGAGUGAAGCGGGAAGAGCUCAAAUUUGAAAUCUUCAAGGUUCUACCUUGACGAAUUGUAGUUUAUAGAAGUGUUUUCUGUUAGUGGAGUGGCAAAAGUUCUUUGGAAUAGGACAUCAUAGAGGGUGAGAAUCCCGUAUUUGGUCAUUCCUCCUAGCGUUGUGAUACACUUUCAACGAGUCGGAUUGUUUGGGAAUGCAGUCCAAAAUGGGUGGUAAAUUUCAUCUAAAGCUAAAUAUUGGCGAGAGACCGAUAGCGAACAAGUACCGUGAGGGAAAGAUGAAAAGAACUUUGAAAAGAGAGUUAAACAGUACGUGAAAUUGUCAAAAGGGAAGCGUUUGACACCAGUGUUGUUUUUCCGAAAAUCAAUUACGAAUGUUUUAUUUUUGAGGAGUUAUGACUUCAUCGGCUUGCUCCUUUCUUUAUGAAACUUUCUUAAUGCACUUUUCGGUUUAACAAGUCAACAUCAAUUUCUUUUGUUGUAAAAGGGUAUGAGGAAGGUGGCUUUCUUUUCGGAGAAAGUGUUUAUAGCCUUGUGCCUCUGCAAUCGGAGAGAUUGAGGUCUGCAGCGUAGAUCCUUCGGGGUUAGAUACAGUUUGUGCUAAGCUAUAGCCUUUCAUAGACAACUUGUUGACUAUGAUCAGUCUUGUAGCUUACUCGCUUACGCUAUUUUACCUACGCUUAGGAUGUUGAUGUGAUACUGCGAGCA
rnacentral:rRNA from 1 species